rnacentral:rRNA from 1 species
AUGUCUAAGUCCAAGCUGUGUUCACACGGCGAGACCGCGGACGGCUCAUUAAAUCAGUCGUGGUCCAAAUGGGCCAGUGCAAAUCCUACUUGGAUAACUGUGGUAAUUCCAGAGCUAAUACAUGCAACUGAUAUCCCGAAGGCGGUGUUGGGGCUUGCUUGCCUUGCGCUGCGCUGCUCUGACGGAUGCUUUUAUUAGACCAAGCCGCUGAGGACUUGAGGGUUCGCGCUCUCUUGUUUGACUCGUGUGAUGGUGACUCUGGAUAACCAAAUUCUGACAAGCGCACGUACUUCUCUUCUGAGCGAGACGGCGCUGCCACUUUCGAGUGUCUGCCUUAUCAGCUAUCAACCGUUCGUUAUGCGCGACCGAUGGCUUUGACGGGUAACGGGGAAUCAGGGUUCGAUUCCGGAGAGGCAGCCUGAGAGACGGCUACCACGUCCAAGGACGGCAGCAGGCACGCAAAUUACCCAAUCCCAGCAAAUGGGGGAGGUAGUGACGAAAUCUAACGAUGCGGGCGCCCUUUCUGGGGCCCCGCAAUCGGAAUGGGCACUUUCUAAACA